rnacentral:sRNA from 1 species
UAGAUCAUAAACAAAGAAGAAGAAAAAAAAUAAGAAAAGAAGAAGAAGAUGUCGUGGCAA